AAGGCUCUAGCUUAAUUAAAGUAUUUGAGUUGCAUUCAGAUGAUGCAGGUUAAUGCCCUGCGGGUCUUA
rnacentral:tRNA from 1 species